AUUGAACGCUGGCGGCAGGCCUAACACAUGCAAGUCGAGCGAGCGGCGGACGGGUGAGUAAUGUAUGGGGACUGCCCGAUAGAGGGGGAUAACUACUGGAUACGGUAGCUAAUACCGCAUACUAUCGGAUCACCCAUAUGGGAUUAGCUAGUAGGUGAGGUAAUGGCUCACCUAGGCGAAGAUCCCUAGCUGGUCUGAGAGGAUGAUCCGCCACAAUGGGACUUAGACACAGCCCAGACUCCUAAGGAGGCAGCAGUGGGGAAUAUUGCACAAGGGGAGGAAGGCUGAUGCAGCCACGCCGCGUGUAUGAAGAAGGUCCUAGGGUUGUAAAGUUCUGUCAGUCGGGAGGCGUUAACGACAGAAGAAGCACCGGCUAACUCCGUGCCAGCAGCCGCGGUAAUAC
rnacentral:rRNA from 1 species